GUUUUUUUGGCAGCACAUGUACUAAAAUUAGAACAAUGCAGAGAGGAUUAGCACAGCCUCUGUGCAAUGGUGACAUGCAAAUUCAUGAAACAUUACAUCUUUUU